GAGACAUUGAAAACCUUACUUUCAAUAAAUGUGGACAAGUUAAAAUGGACUAUAAUUACACCAAAUAUUAGAGAAAAUGGAAACAAAAAAUUUAGCAUUUUUCUGCCAGAUAAAGGUUAUUAUGAAUGUGCUGUAACCAAGCUGAGAUGG